GAGGAAAGCCGUCCAAACUAAUAAUGCCAUGACCUUUGAGUUAAAGCUAGCAAUAAUAAAAAGCGAUUCUUUGUGCCUAUUGUAAUUUCUGAUUUGAAUAAGGCCUCGAACAAGUCGUGACAUU